rnacentral:rRNA from 1 species
GACCCUGUUCUAAGUCGUACGAGCAUGCAUGGAUUCUCCGCUAUGACUGAAGUUCGAAAGUCAAAAGGUCCGCCUUGARUGGAGGAGUCUAUCGAUCGUACACUCUGUUGUUUAGCGACGACCAUGCCCUAACUUGAAUUUAUGCUGGCCACCGUGGGCGGAAAGCCUAAUCUAGAAAGGCUUUGCAAAGUAGUCGACGAGCAGGCUGGGGUAAUACGUGUGGUGUCARRACGUUAAUCCAGGAAUUUUUCCGGGGCGUAGAGCGGCGCCGCAGGUCGAUUUCCUUAAGUUUUGUCGGCAAAGCCCCCGGACUCCACCCAGGGAGGAGUCAUUAGGAAACUGGGAUUCUUCAGUAAAGAAGAGGAAACGCUGAAAUCCCWUGGGAAGCGGUGAAAUGGGCAUAGAUAAGCAGGAACUCUAGUCGUGAAUGCGACCCUCGGGUCCGUAACUGACAGUGAGGCGCGAAGGCGAARGGAGCAAUCASGAUUAGAGAUCCUGSUGGUCCACGCGCUAAUCGACGAGUCACAAGUAUUUGAGGGUUUCUGCCCUUCAGUCAAGAAGUUCACUCAYCAAGCACUCUGCAUGGGGAGUCCGGCCGCAAGGCCGUCACUCAUAAGAAUCGACGUGCGCGCGCACAAGCGGCAGAGCAUGUGGUUUAAUCUGAAGCAACGCGAAGAACCUUAGCAGGUCGCGACUUCCUCUGAAAACCCUAGAGAUAGGGCUUCUCCAUGGGGACCAGAGUGACAGGUGGCGCAUGGUCGUCGUCAGCUCGUGUCUUGAGAUGUUGGAAUAAGUCCCGCAACGAGCGCAACCCUUGAUGUCAGUUGCCAUCAUUAAGUGAGGCACUCCUAAGGUGACCCCGGUGACAAACCGGAGGAAGGUGGGGAUGACGUCAAAUCAUCAUGCCCUUUAUGACCUGGGCUACACACGUGCUACAAUGGACGGUACAAAGAGCUGCAAGACCGCGAGGUGGAGCUAAUCUCAUAAAACCGUUCUCAGUUCGGAUUGUAGGCUGCAACUCGCGCACAUGAAGCUGGAAUCGCUAGUAAUCGCGGAUCAGCAUGACGCGGUGAAUACGUUCCCGGGCCUAGUACACACCGCCUGUCACAUCACGAGAGUUUGUAACACCAGAAGUCGGUGGGGUAACCCGCUGGAGCUCAGCCGCCUAAGUGACCCAUGCCU